rnacentral:lncRNA from 1 species
UCGUCUUCUACCCCCAGAAAACAGAGCGAAAGCUCUGUUAUUUUUUUAAAAAAAAUAAUCUCCUCCUUAACUCAAAUCUCUUCCUCCUCAACUCAAUCAACCCAGAUCCUGUUUUAAACCUAUAUCCUGCGAAAAAAUUCAAUAAUUUCUUCUAGAGACUCCAAAAUUGGGUAGGUGAGUUUUAUCCCUUUUAUUCAAUUUUUAUAAUAUAAUUUAUUUUCUUUACCUUUUAAUAGUGAUUUUUGGUGAUUUGAGAAUAAAAAGGUAUAUAUUUUAGUUAGAUUUAAUUAAUGAGUUUUAAUAUUUAUUUUUGGGAUUAAUGAUUUUUAUAGGUUGAUUUAAAUAAUAUUUACAGCUUAUUGAGUAUUUUUGUUGAGUUGGGUACUUUUGGGAGGACUAACUAUGUUGAAAUACUGCCGAAAUUUUCUUAAAAAUAUAUAUAUAAAUAUAUUUAAAAUUUCAUAUUUUACGUUUUAUAUUAUUGUUCUAGAGCAUUUUUAUUAUUUAAUAUAUUAUUUUAUUUUUUUAUUUUUUUUUUAAAUUCUAGGAAAGGAUCCAGCUUCCAGGAUAGAUAAUAGGGGUCCUCCUGCGAUCUAGGUCUUUUGUCCCAAGUAUUCUGGUGAGUGGAUAAAUAUAUAACAUUGAUAUUUUUUUUAAAAUAUAUUUAUAUGUGAAUAUGUUAUUUUGUUUAUUUAAGUUGGGAAAGGAUAAUGAUAAUUUAUAUUUCUUGAAUAAAUGAAAAUUGAAUUUAAAGCACAGCUGAAUAAAUAGCCGAUUACACUCUGUAUAUGCACCGAACAGAUAACACCUUGAUGACAGGUGAUUUAUUUUCAGCAUGAUAUAUAUAUAUAUACUGUCUUUGGGACGGCGCUUGAUAUACAGAUAGCCUUUGGGGCGUAUGUCAGGUGGUCACCCUUUGGGGGUAGCUCUGCACAUGUGUAUGACCAGUAUUUUAUUUGCUCUUGGGCCAAACUUGUCAUUAUAGAGCCUAAGAUGCCAGCAUUGCUCUCAGGCUGUUAUUAUUUUAUUAUACCUGAGAUGCCAGCAUUAUCUGCAGGGAACAUAUUAUUAGUGUAUGCGGAUUCUAUUUUUCACAGUUUAUUUUAUGUUGAUGAAAUUAAAUUGUAUUUAUUCAGCUGACUUAUUUUAGCUAAAUAUUUGGUACUAUUAAGUACCUAAACUUAUCUUUUCCCCUUUGUUAUUUAUUUAUCCGCUCACUGAGUAGUUGUACUCACCCUUAUAUUUAUUUUAAUAUUACAGUUUCUUUUUGGUGAUCCGCUCAGCAGUCCUCAUUUCCUAGUUUAUCCUCCUUUCCACAUCGUCCACUCAGAGUUUAGAGGAGGUCGGACCAAUCUUAAGUCUUUUGUUAUUUCUUUUUUUGUAAUUUUGUUAGAUCAUGUAUAGAUUGUACAGCCCCAAUGAAGAAGGUUUUGGGUUAUUGUAAAUAUUUUAUGAAUUGACAGGUCCAACUAUCAGUUUUCUCUUAUAUGUUUUAUAUUUUGAAAUUAUAGCAGGUUACAUGUUUUUAUAUGUAUAAAUAUCAGGGGAAGUUCUGUCAGUUUUCCUGGUCAUAUCCAUCUCUAUAGUUUUGGGUUGGGUGUGACAAUUUUUGGUAUCAGAGCUUAGGUUAUAGAUUCUGUAGACUUUCUUCGAGUCAGUAUAGUAAUAGAAGUCGGGGCCGUAGUGUUCGUACAGCUAGAUUAGUUGAUAUUGGUCGACCUCAUAGGGAUCCUACAGUUACACCUCCACCUCUAGAAGGGGUGGCAGAUCAUGUUUUACUUGAGAGCGGAGAAGGGCAUGAAGAUUCUGCUUCUCAUGGUGUUGAAUCAAGAACAUACUCGACCACAGCCUAGUCAGAGCUCAGUAGCACAACCAGUGGGUAGUUCCUUUGGGGCACAGAAAAGUGGGCAAGGAUAUAAUUCUGGGUUUGAACAAAGGAAGAGACAUUUUCCUCAAUGUGCCACCUGUGGUAAAUAUCAUGCUGGGAAGUGCAGAAAAUUCGAUAGGGGUUGUUUUGAAUGUGGUUCUUCGGGCCAUUUUAAGAGAGAUUGUCCAUUGCUGAUAGCCAGAGACAGUGGUUCUCAGCAAGGAUCAGUGGCGCCUCAGAAUCUAAGGCAUGGUGUGACACCAUCACAGGGUGUGCCUACAGCACAAGUUGGGCCUGGCACAAGCAGAGCCAGUGGAGGUACUUCAUCUUCUCAGUCUAGACCAAUGAUGCAACCUGACAGACCUCGCACUCAGGCCAGAGUUUUUGCUGUGACACAGCCAGAGUUUUUGCUGUGACACAGCAGGAGGCACGAGCAUCUCCAAAGGUGGUGACUGGUAUGUUAACUAUUUUCGAUAAAGAUGCACACAUUCUUAUAGAUCCUAGUUCCACCCACUCUUUCGUAUCUCAAUCCUUCUCUAGGCAUGCUGAUAGAGAAUUAAAACCUUUAGACGGUGGAUUAGCUGUGAGUACUCCAGUUGGGGAUUCUGUAGUAUGUGAACAUGUGUAUAGGGAUUGUGUUGUUAAGUUGGGCGACCAUGAGUUGUUAGUGGAUCUGAUUCCUUUGUGUCUACAAGAUCUGGAUGUUAUCCUAGGUGUGGACUGGUUAUCUCGUCAUCAUGCCACAAUAGAUUGCUUCGAGAAAUCAGUGGUAUUUAAUAGUCCAGAAGGGUGUAAGUUCACUUUCUUUGGGGAGAGGCGUUUACUUCCUUCUUAUGUGAUUUCUGCCAUGACUACUAGAAAGUUGCUUCGGAAGGGUUGUCAAGCAUACUUAGCCUAUGUGAUGGACAGUAGUCGGGAAGGACCUAAAUUGGAAGAUAUACCAGUAGUAAGCGAAUUUCCUGAUGUAUUUCCUGAAGAGCUUCCUGGGUUGCCUCCAGAUAGAGAGAUUGAAUUCUCUAUUGAUUUAAUCCAGGUACAGCUCCUAUUUCUAUGGCACCAUACAGAAUGGCUCCAGCAGAAUUGAAGGAGUUAAAAGCACAAUUGCAGGAGCUACUUGAUAAAGGUUUCAUAAGACCCAGUGUUUCACCUUGGGGAGCCCCUGUGCUAUUUGUGAAGAAGAAGGAUGGUUCCUUAAGGUUGUGUAUUGACUACAGACAAUUGAAUCGAGUCACAGUGCGAAAUAAGUAUCCUUUACCCCGCAUUGAUGAUCUUUUUGAUCAGCUCCAAGGUGCUAAAGUAUUCUCUAAGAUUGAUUUGCGGUCUGGGUAUCACCAAUUGAAGAUCAAGGAGUUUGAAAUACCCAAGACAGCCUUCAGAACUCGUUACGGGCAUUAUGAGUUCCUCGUUAUGCCUUUCGGAUUAACUAAUGCACCCGCUGCUUUUAUGGAUCUCAUGAAUAGGGUGUUCAAGCCCUACUUGGAUAGCUUUGUUAUUGUGUUUAUUGAUGACAUUUUAGUAUAUUCCCGUAGCAAGGAAGAGCAUGAGAAGCAUUUACGGAUAGUACUACAGAUUUUGAAAGAUAAACAACUAUAUGCUAAAUUGAGCAAAUGUGAGUUCUGGCUUGAUCGGGUGAUUUUCUUAGGACAUGUUAUCUUAGCAGAUGGAGUUUUGGUUGAUCCUAAGAAGAUUGAAGCAGUAGUCAAUUGGGAUCCUCCGACUAAUGUUACAGAGGUUAGAAGUUUUCUGGGUUUAGCAGGGUAUUAUUGUCGCUUUGUUCAGGAUUUCUCCAUCAUUGCAGCACCAUUGACUAAACUCCUUCGAAAGAAUGCAAAGUUUGAAUGGACAUAUGAAUGUCAAGAGAGUUUUGAGAAGCUUAAAACUUGUCUCACAUCAGCUCCAGUUCUUACCUUACCCUCAGGUACAGAUGGAUUUGUGGUGUAUAGUGAUGCUUCUCACAAGGGUUUAGGCUGUGUACUCAUGCAACAUGGGAAGGUGAUAGCUUAUGCUUCUAGACAGCUUAGACCAAAUGAAUUAAAUUAUCCCACCCAUGAUCUGGAAUUAGCUGCAGUUGUGUUUGCAUUAAAGACAUGGAGGCAUUAUCUUUAUGGCGUGACUUGCCAGAUUUUUACAAAUCGUAAGAGUUUGAAGAAUCUUCUCACACAGAAGGAGUUGAAUUUAAGGCAGAGACGGUGGAUUGAGUUACUUAAGGACUACGACUGUACUAUUGAAUAUCAUCCAGGUAAAGCUAAUGUGGUAGCUGAUGCCCUUAGUCGCAAGUCCUUUAGUAAUUUGGCCUAUUUCAAAACAGUUCGGCUUCCUUUAUUACUAGAGAUCAGAUCCUUAAGGGUAGAACUAGCAGUGGAUGAUGUAGGAGCAUUGUUAGCAACUCUCAAAGUUCGACCAGUGUUGAUAGAAAGAGUCAGAGAAGCCCAAAAUCAAGAUGAGCAGUUGAGUAAGAUCAGUAAUGAAGUAAGAGAUGGCACACGUACCGACUUUUCUCUAAGGGAGGAUGGAACUUUAAUGUUUGGUGAUAGACUAUGUGUACCCAGAGUGGAAAGCUUGAAGAGAGAGAUUAUGGAGGAAGCCCAUUGUUUUGCUUACUCUAUGCAUCCAGGCAGUACAAAAAUGUACAGAGAUCUUAGAGAAAACUAUUGGUGGCCAGGUAUGAAGAAAGAAAUAGCUGACUUCGUGUCUACAUGUUUAGUUUGCCAACAGAUUAAAGCAGAACAUCAACAUCCAACAGGGAAGCUGCAACCGCUCUCUAUUCCAGAAUGGAAGUGGGAACACAUUACUAUGGAUUUUGUUUCUGGGUUACCUCGUACUUCGCACGGACAUAAUGCAGUAUGGGUGAUAGUUGAUAGGUUAACCAAGUCAGCACACUUUUUGCCUGUCAAGAUGGAUUAUUCUUUAGACAAGUUAGCAGAGAUCUAUGUCAGUGAGAUUGUAAGACUCCAUGGCGCUCCAGUUUCUAUUGUUUCAGAUAGAGAUCCAAGAUUCACUUCUCGUUUUUGGCCUAGUUUGCAAAAUGCUUUAGGCACUAAGUUGAAGUUUAGCACUUCUUUUCACCCUCAAACUGAUGGUCAAUCAGAAAGAACUAUUCAGACCUUGGAGGAUAUGCUGAGAGCUUGUGUAAUGGAGUUUAAAGGAAGUUGGGAUAGGUAUGUGCAUGUAAUGGAGUUCUCUUAUAAUAAUAGUUAUCAUUCGAGUAUCGGCAUGACUCCUUAUGAAGCUUUGUAUGGAAGGAGAUGCAGAACACCAUUGUGUUGGAAUGAGGUAGGGGAAAGACAAUUAGAAGGUCCAGAACUAGUACAAUACACUACAGAUAAAAUUCAGAUGAUCAGAAGUAGACUAAAAGCAGCACAAGACAGACAGAAGAGUUAUGCAGAUCUGAAGAGAAGGGAUAUUGAAUAUAAUGUUGGCGACAAGGUAUUUCUAAAGAUCUCACCUUGGAAAGGGGUUGUACGUUUUGGCAAACGUAGAAAAUUGAGUCCGCGAUUCAUAGGACCAUAUGAGAUUUUAGAGAGAAUUGGACCAGUUGCUUAUCGUUUAGCACUACCUCCAGAGCUAUCUCAGAUUCAUGAUGUCUUUCAUGUAUCUAUGUUAAGAAGAUACAGAAGUGAUCCUUCCCAUAUCCUCCAGAAACAACCUAUCGAGUUGAGGGAAGAUUUAACCUAUGAAGAAGAGCCAGUAGAGAUCAUUGCCAAAGAAGAGAAGGUUUUAAGGAGCAAGAUAAUACCCCUGGUUAAAGUUCGAUGGAGUAAUCAUUCUGCUAAAGAAGCUACCUGGGAAAAAGAAGAGAAUAUGCGAAUUCAAUUCCCACAUUUAUUCCCUUCACCAGGUAUGUAAAAUUUCGAGGACGAAAUUUCUUUUAGGAGGAGAGAAUUGUUAGGCCCAGCCCUUUUUAAAAGAAAAAAAAUAGGCCCAUAAAUAUAUUUUAUAUAAAAANNNNNNNNNNNNNNNNNNNNNNNNNNNNNNNNNNNNNNNNNNNNNNNNNNNAAAAAGUGGGCAUUAAAGCUCCGGUUUCGGGAAUGUCCCAAAACAUUCCCGAAACAGAGCAUUCGUCUUCUACCCCCAGAAAACAGAGCGAAAGCUCUGUUAUUUUUUUUUUUAAAAAAAAAUCUCCUCCUUAACUCAAAUCUCUUCCUCCUCAACUCAAUCAACCCAGAUCCUGUUUUAAACCUAUAUCCUGCGAAGAAAUUCAAUAAUUUCUUUUAGAGACUCCAAAAUUGGGUAGGUGAGUUUUAUCCCUUUUAUUCAAUUUUUACAAUAUAAUUUAUUUUCUUUACCUUUUAAUAGUGAUUUUUGGUGAUUUGAGAAUAAAAAGGGUAUAUAUUUUAGUUAGAUUUAAUUAAUGAGUUUUAAUAUUUAUUUUUGGGAUUAAUGAUUUUUAUAGGUUGAUUUAAAUAAUAUUUACAGCUUAUUGAGUAUUUUUGUUGAGUUGGGUACUUUUGGGAGGACUAUGUUGAAAUACUGCCGAAAUUUUCUUAAAAAUAUAUAUAUAUAAAUAUAUUUAAAAUUUCAUAUUUUACGUUUUAUAUUAUUGUUCUAGAGCAUUUUUAUUAUUUAAUAUAUUAUUUUAUUUUUUUUAUUUUUUUUUAAAAUUCUAGGAAAGGAUCCAGCUUCCAGGAUAGAUAAUAGGGGUUCUCCUGCGAUCUAGGUCUUUUGUCCCAAGUAUUCUGGUG